rnacentral:rRNA from 1 species
AUGCGUACACACAGCAAGUCCGGCUUCGCCCAGCCUAAGACACUUCACAUCGCCACCUCCGGCAUCAGUCCCAUUCCUUCCUCUUAUCGUGUAGCCCUCCAGGACCCUAACUGGCACGCCGCGAUGCUUGAGGAAUAUAACACACUGAUGCGGAAUAAUACUUGGUGUUUAGUGUCUCGUCCUGCAGGUGCGAACGUCGUGACAGGCAAGUGGAUCUUUCGGCAUAAGUUCCACCCCGACGGGAUGCUCAUGCGCUACAAAGCGCGGUGGGUACUUCACGGCUUCACCCAGCAGGCCGGCGUCGACUAUGCUGAGACGUUCAGCCCCGUCGUCAAGCCGGCCACCAUUCGGACGGUGCUCAGCAUUGCCGCCGGCAAGUCUUGGCCCAUUCAUCAGUUGGACGUCAAGAAUGCCUUCCUCCAUGGGCAUCUCGCGGAGACUGUCUACAGCCACCAGCUGAACCGUUCCUUGUAG